CAGUCGCCGCGGUAAUACGGAGGGUGCAAGCGUUAAUCGGAAUUACCGGGCGUAAAGCGUGCGUAGGCGGUUCGUUAAGUCUGUUGUGAAAGCCCCGGGCUCAACCUGGGAAUGGCAAUGGAUACUGGCGAGCUAGAGUGUGUCAGAGGAUGGUGGAAUUCCCGGUGUAGCGGUGAAAUGCGUAGAGAUCGGGAGGAACAUCAGUGGCGAAGGCGGCCAUCUGGGACAACACUGACGCUGAGGCACGAAAGCGUGGGGAGCAAACAGGAUUAGAUACCCCUGUAGUCCCUGUCUCUUAUAC
rnacentral:rRNA from 1 species